GUGAUGUCAUAAUGCAGCAACAAAGUAAUCUGUACUUUCUAAGGGGGUCUUGCCCAGGGCGUAAUUCAAUGUAGAACCGCCAGUGAGACUAAGAAUAUGCCAAUAGUAUUAUAGUAUUGCCUCUGAGGGCUGUUGACAGAUGUCAGGAGAUUCUUACUAAGAGGGAACAUGUUGUGUAAAGGGAACUACAGUCUGACUAUAGUGUCACACGGACACACACUGUUUGGCGAGACGCACAAGUUAUCAAGUAAACCUUGAAAAACACUCAUCUCUCCGUUUCUUUUUGUUUUCAAGAUACAUUCAUAAGGUUAACGUUGUAAAUCUUUACAGUCAUUCACCGUAAGAACCAAGCAGGCCGGCCUUGUUGCACAAUCCAAAUUUUCUU